rnacentral:rRNA from 1 species
GAUGAACGCUAGCGGGAGGCCUAACACAUGCAAGCCGAGCGGUAUUGUUUCUUCGGAAAUGAGGGAGCGGCGUACGGGUGCGUAACACGUGUGCAACCUGCCUUUAUCUGGGGGAUAGCCUUUCGAAAGGAAGAUUAAUACUCCAUAAUAUAUUGAACGGCAUCGUUUAAUAUUGAAAGCUCCGGCGGAUAGAGAUGGGCACGCGCAAGAUUAGCUAGUUGGUGAGGUAACGGCUCACCAAGGCGAUGAUCUUUAGGGGGCCUGAGAGGGUGAUCCCCCACACUGGUACUGAGACACGGACCAGACUCCUACGGGAGGCAGCAGUGAGGAAUAUUGGUCAAUGGGUGCAAGCCUGAACCAGCCAUCCCGCGUGAAGGGCGACUGCCCUAUGGGUUGUAAACUUCUUUUGGAUAGGGAUAAACCUACCCUCGUGAGGGUAGCUGAAGGUACUAUACGAAUAAGCACCGGCUAACUCCGUG